UGUGACUCAUCUUCCAUUCCCUGGUGUAUUUCUAAUGUGUACCCAUAGUGUGAGUCCAUGGAGGCUGCCAGGUUUUUGUAAUCCCUCUUCUACCCCUACCCUCAACCUCCCAGGCAGCCUGAGAUCUGACAAAGAGAAGUUAAAAAACGCAAAUAUUCCAAAUCAGUGACUGGAAAAAGUGAUAUCACAAGCGAAACAAGAAUCCAGUCCAUAGGCCAAGACUGCUAUCUCUCUCUCUUUUUUUUUUUUUUUUUUGAGAUAGAGUCUCGCUCUGUUGCCCAGGCUGGAAUGCAGUGGCGCGAUAUUGGCUGACUGCAAGCUCCGCCUCCCGGGUUCACGCCAUUCUCCUGAGUAGAGUAGCUGGGACUACAGGCGACCGCCACCACACCCAGCUAAUUUUUUUGUAUUUUUUUUAGUAGAGACGGGGUUUCACCGUGUUGGCCUGGAUGGUCUCGAGCUCCUGACCUAGCUACCUGCCUGCCUCAGCCUCCCAAAGUGCUGGGAUUACAGGGGUGAGCCACCACGCCCGGCCCAAGUCUGCUAUCUCUAUUCCAACAAGUUCAUCUGCAUCUUGUUAUUGUGCCGCGAGAAAUAGCAGCCUGACCCUCAGUUUGAUCCGGGAUAAAAAUUUGGCACACAAGCCAGGAAUUAAGGACAGUGCUGCAUUCAGCGGCUGGCAACUUGCUAUGAGACAGUCUUCAGGAGGAUCCCAGAAGCUGCUGGGUGAGGUUUCCCCCGGGACCCUCCAGAGGGCUGUUGUGCGCAAAUCUGCAUGUCCUUUUCACUACUGAGGAGAAACAGAGAUCAGGAGCAGAUGCGCUCAAAGGAGUCAAGGAAGCUUUUCUUUUGUGCUAUUAACAGAUUUUAACAAUUAAGUAAAGUAUACUCCUAUGAACAAAAUUUGGAGCAUAUUUGUUUCUCUCUGCCUUGUCCCUCUAGAAUUUGGAAACUAUCUCAGGAUACAACUGGAAACAUUGGUUAUAUUACCAAGGCUUUGACUGAAACAUCAUAUUUAAAAAUGUGGAUAGAAUGCCUAAUUUCAAGAGUUUUCAGGCCAAUAUUUAUGAAUCCUGUCGCUGUACUUGAGCCAGCCAAUUAAGAGUCAGCUUGUUGACACACGUUAAAUAUGUGGUAAUAAAGAAAUGAGAAGAAAAUAGUUUGCACAGUCCGAGUCAAUUCUCAUAUUUCAAAAGAGAAACAAAGAAUGCAACUGGCAAUACGUAAUCCGAAUCCUCCCAUCUUAGCUUCUCAAAUAAAAGCAGAUAGCUGUCAAUAAUUUUGGAAGUGACUUCUGGUCCCUCACCUGGCUCUGACUUCAUCCCUGGUACGGAUUCACUCUCUGCUCAAUCCUCCAACUCAACGCAUGAUGGACCAAAUAGUUAUCAUUCUCCAUUUUCAACUCCUUAUCUCCAUCCACUCCAUAGGGCAUCCAGAAACUGAUAUAGCCCUGCUCCCCAACCCCAGUCUGAGCUUGUAAAAAGCCCCAUGGGAUGACAUACUUGAAGGGCCUCAAUGGUAACAGCUAAUAUGGAUUCAAUUAAAUUGCACUGUGUACAACUCCUGGAGUCCAUGCAGCAGUCCUAGUACAAAGUCUAACACCAACAACUUUGACCCCAGAACCAAUGCAAUGAAGACCCACAGAGAUCUGCAUUGCCACAUCCUCAACAACCAAUAUUCCGUCCAGGCUAUGACUGGCUCUAGAUGAACCUAAGUGCCUUUCGCCAUAGUCAUCUCUCCAGGGGAAAGCUGGGGCCAGUUGUCUUCUCAAUUCCAUAGCUCACCAUGCCUCACACUUCUGGUAUCUUCACUUGUCUUCUGACACCUAAGCCCCUCCCUGGUUUAAUCUCUUUUGUACCUUCAUCACGAUCACUGCUCUGUAAUUCCACUCUUGUGCCCUCCCUAACAAUCCUUUCCAGAGGACUUUCCUCACUUUCAGUCACCCCCAGACAUGCCCAAAACUGUUUUACCUAGAAUAGUUCCAGAUUUAAAAGAUUAAAUUCAGUCACCCCACUCUCUGAAUACAAACUUUUACUUUUCACUCUUAAAUUUCCCUCACUCAGUUACUCUCCUUAUGCCAACUCUUUGUCUUAACCAGAUCUGUCAUCCAAUGACCCUCUCAACUUUCUCUCAGUUAGCGCCUUUCUACUGUCACUUCUUUCCCUACCUGGAAUCUACUCUAAACAUUGUAAAAUGCAGUACACCUUUUUGAGCAAUCUCAUUCAUUUCCAUUGGGUAAGACAAUACCAAAUAUUCUUUCUCCAGCCGAGAUUCCCCCCUUGAAACUCUCAAUCCCCC
rnacentral:lncRNA from 10 species